CGGCCAGGAGCCUGGAGUGUUUGUUGACAUACAGAGGGGGAGUCUGUGGCGGUCCUCAACCAGAGGACAAUCCGUCAUGUUCAUGCUGUUCUCCUGAUCUCUCAGGGCCGUCCCCGGCACUUUGACAUGGUGGCACCUGGCUCCAAUGUGGCUACCAACAACCAGGUACCAGAGUAUGAGGACUCUUCAUCUUGAGUCUUGCAGUUUAACAGGCCCUGGGAUAAGGCUGAGGGCCUUGUCUGAGUGAGGGCUGUUCACCAAACCGUGCCCCGUCUGCUCCUCAGGUCUGCGUGACGAACACAAGAUAAAACAGGUGUGCAAAUAAAGUAUAAACUUAAAUCCCUAAGGGUUGUUAGAAGUUCCUCCACGGGAAGG